rnacentral:rRNA from 1 species
AGCGAACGCUGGCGGCAGGCCUAACACAUGCAAGUCGAACGAACUCUUCGGAGUUAGUGGCGGACGGGUGAGUAACACGUGGGAACGUGCCCUUUGGUACGGAAUAACUCAGGGAAACUUGAGCUAAUACCGUAUGUGCCCUUCGGGGGAAAGAUUUAUCGCCAUUGGAGCGGCCCGCGUCUGAUUAGCUAGUUGGUGAGGUAAAGGCUCACCAAGGCUACGAUCAGUAGCUGGUCUGAGAGGAUGAUCAGCCACAUUGGGACUGAGACACGGCCCAAACUCCUACGGGAGGCAGCAGUGGGGAAUCUUGCGCAAUGGGCGAAAGCCUGACGCAGCCAUGCCGCGUGAAUGAUGAAGGUCUUAGGAUUGUAAAAUUCUUUCACCGGGGACGAUAAUGACGGUACCCUGAGAAGAAGCCCCGGCUAACUUCGUG